UAAAAUCUAAACUAAGGAAAAAGAGUAUAGCUACUUCCCUGAUGUUGAUCACUGAAGAUCUUUGAGUCGACGCAUUCCAAUCUUGUGAACUAAUUUCUUGAAUGUAGACGUCGGCAAUGCUUUUAUGAAUAAAUCUACCAUAUUUUCACUUGAACGAAUUUGUUGAAUAUCGGUGUCGCCAUUCUUUUGAAACUCAUGAGUAUGAAAGAAAUUUGGAGAAAUACGUUUCAUGCUAUCACCUUUGAAUAACCUCUUCUAAGUUGUGCAAUACAAAUUAUAUAAUCUUCAUACAAAAUUGUUUGACUAUCUUUUGUUAAAGUUAACCAGUAUAAUGCUUGGAUAUGAUGUGUUAUGUUUUUCAACCAUACACAUUCUCAACCUGCUUCAUGGAUUGCAAUAUUUCAGAAUGAUUUAAGAAUGUAGCUGUUAGGGAUUGCUUCACAGAUCUCCAUAAUAAAUAACUGUUCCUCCACAUGUAAACGCAUAUCUAUGUGUGAUUUAGCUUUAUGUAGGUCAGAUAG
rnacentral:lncRNA from 1 species